UGAUAUGUUUGGUAUAUAUGGU
rnacentral:miRNA from 1 species